AUUGAACGCUGGCGGCAUGCCUUACACAUGCAAGUCGAACGGCAGCACGGGUGCUUGCACCUGGUGGCGAGUGGCGAACGGGUGAGUAAUACAUCGGAACAUGUCCUGUAGUGGGGGAUAGCCCGGCGAAAGCCGGAUUAAUACCGCAUACGAUCUACGGAUGAUAGCGGGGGACCUUCGGGCCUCGCGCUAUAGGGUUGGCCGAUAGCUGAUUAGCUAGUUGGUGGGGUAAAGGCCUACCAAGGCGACGAUCAGUAGCUGGUCUGAGAGGACGACCAGCCACACUGGGACUGAGACACGGCCCAGACUCCUACGGGAGGCAGCAGUGGGGAAUUUUGGACAAUGGGCGAAAGCCUGAUCCAGCAAUGCCGCGUGUGUGAAGAAGGCCUUCGGGUUGUAAAGCACUUUUGUCCGGAAAGAAAUCCUUGGCUCUAAUACAGUCGGGGGAUGACGGUACCGGAAGAAUAAGCACCGGCUAACUACGUG
rnacentral:rRNA from 1 species